CAUCAAAAGAAGCAUGACCAGCAGGGUGAAGGCCUUCUAGUCUUUGCUAGUGAGGCCUUACCUGGAAUACUGCAUCCAAGAAGGUCAUGAAGCUGUGGGAGUAUGUCCAGAGGAGAGCCAGAAAAAUAAUCCAAGGGACAGAACACCUCUGCUGUAAAUUUGCAGUUCUGGAGACAUCUAGAAGGAAAGAUUUGGUACCCAUGCCUGCCCACCUCCCUUGCUGAUCCUGCCCUUACCUCCUUGAUGUGAGCCCAUCCCUGUGACUAUCCCAAGCCUGGAUCUGCUGACCACAUCCAAGUGUGGUAGGACAGGCCGUCAGAAGUGCCUGCCCCAGGUCCUGUCCCUGCCUGCUCUGACUGGCAGCCCUGGCAACAGGUAUUUAGGGGGUAGCUGAAGCCAGGUGGAAUUGGGUUGAAACAUUAAGCACAAGCAAAUGAUGUAAAUCCAAAGCACUAUCAUUGAUCUGGCAGGCAACAGCUACAAGGUUUUAAAAUGAACGCGCAGUCCAAGCAGUGAGGCUGAAAUGUGGAAGAUUACUGUAGCGUUUAAACUGACAUAUUCACAAAGAUUUCUGUAUUACAGCUCUUCCCUACUAGCACAUAUAUAUGUAUGGGUAUAAAUGUAUAUAUUCCAAGGUUUAAAUGUAUGUUAUUCAUUAUUGUGAACACCUCACUGGUCUUUUAUCUGUUAUCGCAUCUAGCAAAAUGCUGUACUUAACAGUAAUUGUCAUUGUAAUUAAUGCUGAUCUGUAAGAUGCCUCUUACAUUUACUGUUAGGCUUCUGUGAAUCACUGGUACUGAUAUGUGAUCCGCAGUUGCAUAAAGAGCCAGUGUAAUAUAUAGCCUGUCAUCUCUAAUACAUUUUGAUGCAUUUUUCUGUGUUUUGCUAUUUUGGAGAUUCUAUCUGGUUUUGCAGACAAAUGGCCUAAUUCUCUGUUCUUUGUCAUUUAUUUGUAUUUCAUGCAAUCUUUAUAUAUUUAUUUAUUUUUUGCACAAAUCUAAACUAAAGAAAGAAAUCACUCUGUAGAACCCCAGCGUCUCAUAAUAACAGGCUGAAUCCAGCUCUCAUAACUUUCAUUUCAAUCAGCCACAAGAGGAAGGAUUUAGUCCAUUAGUUUAAAAUAUUUGACUUUUUCUCCCUCUUGGUAAUUUCCCAGUGAUUUCUUAUAGUCAUGAGGAAAUGCCUACUACAUAUAUAUAGAUAUUUGCUCCAGUGUACACAGUCUCUUUUGUACAGGAGUCUGAAAUCUGUCACUGUUUACUGUGCAGUAACACCAUAACUGGUCCAGUCCAGAAUAUGUCCACUCUCAGAAGGGAUCUAGGGAACUUCUAGCCUUGCACUACACUCAUUUUUCAGCAUAAGGAGCUUAGAGAAUUCACUCAGAAGUUAUCUCAGAGGGACCAGAAAAGAAGAUUAAGCAGCUUUCAAGCUUCAAAAAAGUGUCUGGUGCGGUGGGCUGAGGCUCUGGGGGAUGUAGGUAAUAAACUAUGUGAAUAAUUUUUCAAUUGAAAUGUUCAAAACAGCUAUGUGAAAUACAUGGAGUAUUGUAUAUUAAUGUGAGCUCUUAUGCGAGAAUUUAAACUGUUUAACUUAUACCUAGGAAUUAAUUUUUUCUUCCUUUUCCCCUACUAGCAACUUAUUAUGAAUCUUGAGAUUAGCUGUGUAUAUGCAUCUAGGUGCACGUGCAACUGAUUAUGCAUAAUCUCUGGAGAAGACUGAUGGAAACCUUCAUCUAGAAUUCUGUAACAUCAAUAAAACCAUCCAGGAACAAUUGUUUCAUAGAGAAGAUUGAUACUUCCUUUGAAAAAACAUUAUGAACCCAGUCCAGUCUUUUUGCACUGAAUUAUGUAUGGAGUCGCCAUAAUUGCAAGUAUCAGUCAAUGCCUACACAAAAAUGCAAGGCUAGACAAGUAAUGGCUUUAGGAAGUGGACCUUGCCCUGUAAAGAGUAUAUUACCAAACUAUUACAAGGCUAGUUUAUGCAGAUACUGCAAGCUUAUUUUACAUGAUGGCAGAUGGAUACAAACAGCUUAUAACAUUAAUUUUCUUAUGGGAUCUCAUCUGACAAAAUCCCUUGUUAUUUGCAGUCUCUCAGGAACCAUAAUUCUUUUGCAGAUCCGUGCCUGAUAAACUUAAAUUUUGAAAAUGAAUAUUUGCACUUACCAACAUCAAGGGAGAGUUAAAAUCAAACACUGCUGUCUUCUGGGAAAGUCAGCAGUAAAGCACUGCUUUCAGUAAUCAAUAAAUCAACCAAGCAAAUCUUCAGUCUGUUCUUACAAGGGGAUAUGUCAUCAGGUGAAGUGAAGAUUUGCCAGAGAAACCACUAAGUAAACACUUCUGCCACUUAGCAGUGCUUUGUUUUGCAUCGUCAGCUGCAGAUGAUGAAAGCACAUGCAUGCACAGAUCUGUUUUGCAUCCCAAACAGAGACAGUGCCUGGACCAAAGCACUCAUACAUUGCCUUCAGCAGCUUGGGCUGGGGAGAUACCCUCUGUAUUUCCUUUCUCAGUCUCCUACUGUUCCAUCUCUAUUUUCUUUGCGCCUGCUGCAUUUUGUAUUUUGCAGCAUUUAAAAAUACUAGGGAAAUUUUACUGGACCCUUUUACAGACUAUCAAACAAGUAUAAUGGUCUUACACCUCGCUGAUCUGCAUCCACCUGUGACAAUUAAUGCCCCAAAAGCAGCUUUCCUCCAUAAUAAAUGUCCAAAUGAAUAGCAAGAAUAUGAGCUAUCUACUUGCAACAGUACCAUCAUUUUCUUACAAAGUAUCCCAGAAAGCACAUACCAGAAAAUAAAAGUCUUAGUAAAAUAUGAAAGAGCUUCAUCGUUGUGAACAAAAUGCAUUCUGUGCUGGGCUGUUUUCGUGCUUAUACAGCAGGUCUUGUGCAUUUACUAAAUUCUGCUUGAAUCCUAGCUUAUGGAUCAAGACCUAAAAUCCUAGGUAGUCAGCUAACUGCCCCUAAGGGUCAAAUACGAAGGCUUAGAUGUACACGUUAUUGCUAUCCCCAGCCCCUGUCCACUGGCAUUUAUUUUCCUUUCUAUGGCUGCUGAGCUUUGCUUCUGUCUCAGAGGGAAUAUGAAUGACUCAUUGUUUAUCGAUAAAAACUCCUUUUUCACUCUGUAAUUCAUCUCUCUUUUCUCAGACUCUUUCCCAGUGAAUGUGGCAAGAGACCAAGGAAGCCGACACACUACUAACAUUGAGGUGCCCUUCUGAGGGUUGCCUCCCCUUCCCAGCUAGAUCUGCCAAAAUUAUCAGAUGGACAAUGUGGACUGUGAUGAUGAAUAUGAAUUCUAGGAUGAAAUCUGUAUGCUUUAAGCAGCUGGGUUGUGUCUGCGAGUGGUUGUUGUUGAAAACAACAGCGGCUGUGACACAUGCUGUAAAUGGGACAGUAGUAUAGGUAUAUAGAAACCUUGGAUAUUGUAGGACAUGAGCAAUGAACUCAAAGCUGGAGGCAGACUCUCCCCCCACUAGCAGAUACACAGGAUACAGAGGAUCUGGCACCUGCACCUCCAUUGCAUCUCAGCUGAUGCCACCACAGCCUAUUGUCACAUGUAAUGUUGCUGUUGAUGGUGGUGGCCUGAAAACUUUUUACUGGAUCUUGGAGUCUUUUUGUGACUCAUCAACUAACCUUACCUGAUGUCUUUAUAGUGUUGGCAUUUAUCAGUGUACACUUGUUCUAUCUUUUCAUUCUGCUUUAUCUAAUUUUUGUACAGGAGAUAGAAGGCCUCCCUUCCAUGAUCUUUGCUAUUUCCUCAUCUUACAUCCAUUAACUGCUAACUGCCCUCAUCAGAAAAGGCUGAUUUCUUUAUAUUGGCAAGACAGGCCUCAUGAAAUCAGAGGUGAAACUCUCAUUGAGAGUGGCUCCUUUUAAUCAAAGGACUAGAGGAGAAAAGCAAAACAGAAGGUAGAGACAGUAAGUUCAAUUUAUGGCCAGUUCCUAAAUGAUCAAAACCUGACAAAGACCUCCAGUCUUUCUAGGUAUUCAUGCAUCCAGGAUGACAUAGCUCCUCACAGAACCAAAGCCUAUUAUAGUUGCCACCCUCUCAAUAAAUACCAAUCUCAUUAUAAUGCUUCCUUCAAAUCUGUAGUGUGUGGGCACAGGGCUGGUUCACUAUUGGCUGAAUUGUGAUUUUAUUUUCAGUGAAUGGUAUUCAUUGGUCACUGCACAAAUUUCCUUCCAAAGUCAUAAUUUCUGAAAUGUGGCACUUGUCAUUAAGAUGACAAAUGCUGGCAUUUGGUGGGAUGUGGUAUUGAUUGCAUCAAGCUCUGAAAUAACAGCCAGGAGCAGUACAGCGCAGAAGCCAACAGUGCUGGGCUGGAUCUGGCUGCUUCCCUAGGGCUUUUUUCCAUUCUCCACUGUAUUUCUGACUUGCUGUGAAUAAAGUCACUUAACAUGCUGAUUUGCUGAACUAUCUAUCAAGUGAACUGUUCAAAGCAGAGAUGGGGCCAAAUGACAAAAAGAAAAAGAAAAAAAAAAAGAAAAAGAAAAAGAAAAAAAAGGCUACCUUUGUGAAUGACAGAAGCAAUUCUCCACCUGCAAGGAUUUUAUUACCUACUACUGCAAAAGGUUCAAGCACUGAACAGUCUCCACUGCAUGAAAGAAGGGGUUGGAGACCUUUCUGCAAAUAUACACCACAAGGAAACACACAUUUUGCAGUCCUGGCUCUUAUAACUGCUAGUGAAUCUGGACAUUAUUUUUUAAUUUCUCACAGUGAACUCAACCAAAAAGCUCAGGUUCUGAUGAGGAAUCCAAAUAGCCAUGUUCUGAUAAACUUGUACCUGCACAACUCUGUGAGACUCCACUCUUUUCUGUACAAAAUGAGAGAUCAUCCUCCUGCUUAAAUGUACUUAAUAUCAAGGAAGAUAUAAGCAAUUAGGCUGCCUUCUGCUCAAGACUGCUAGAAAGGUCAAAACACGUGAGUCGUGGUGCCUCACGUGAGGUCAGCUGCUAAUUUGUUUCCUUGCCUGACUGUUUUUCAUCCAACUUAUUGUUGCUUCCUGACAAAUGACUAUAGUGUACAUAUAUACAUAUGUAUAUGUCUAGGCUGAAAAGGUAGAAAAUACUGCUAAAAAAAAAAUCUAUUGCUUCUCUUAA